CUGAAGCAACACUGCUUUUCUGCUCCUGGGUACGGCAAGCGAGGACGACAUAAGGGUCCACGCCAUUGAGAAAAUCAGUGUUUUCAAGACCCUUAGCACCAACAAGUAGGACUUCAACAGUUCCUAGAGGCAUUUUUGGACCAGAAUUGAAUCCAAAAAGCGAAAAAGAAAAGACUUAAAACUCAACAGGAAUUUAGAUUGAAAUGAGUUCUUGGA
rnacentral:misc_RNA from 1 species